rnacentral:rRNA from 1 species
AGCGCAGACGGUUAUUUAAGUCAGGUGUGAAAUCCCCGAGCUCAACUUGGGAAUGGCGCUUGAAACUGGGUAACUAGAGUGUGUCAGAGGGGGUAGAAUUCCACGUGUAGCAGUGAAAUGCGUAGAGAUGUGGAGGAAUACCGAUGGCGAAGGCAGCCCCCUGGGAUAACACUGACGUUCAUGCUCGAAAGCGUGGUAGCAAACA